rnacentral:misc_RNA from 1 species
UCCCCGUUUAAGCGAGGCAGUCUGUCCAGAGUGCUCCAGUCUCUCGACCGGGUGGCAACAGGACAUAGGGGUUGCGCUCGUUGCGGGAUUUAACCCAACAUCUCACGACACGAGCUGACGACAGCCAUGCAGCACCUGUGCAAGCUCCCCUUGCGGGGUCGUUCCGCUUUCACGGUCCUACCACUUGCAUGUCAAGGCCAGGUAAGGUUCUUCGCGUUGCAUCGAAUUAAGCCACAUACUCCACCGCUUGUGCAGGCCCCCGUCAAUUUCUUUGAGUUUUAAUCUUGCGACCGUACUCCCCAGGCGGCGCGUUUAUCGCGUUAGCUUCGGCACAGACAGAUUCGACUCCGCCCACACCUAGUGUUCAUCGUUUACGGCGUGGACUAC